UAUGUCGACUAUGAUAUUCGAAAAAACGAGCAAAGGACGAAAAUCAGUUACGACAAGUAUCAAGGAAAGUAAGCUAAAGACUUCAGGUGGGCAUUAUUUUAAUACCCCCUAUAUUACAGGCUUUCUUAAAUGAUAUAAUACUUAUGAGUAUGAUUGAGUUAAAAUUUUGAUUAAUGUUGUUGACUUGCCAUGCUUUUAUUAUGUUGUAUGUUACCUCGGCAAAUGAUAUUUGUGAUGAUGAUGAUACGAUAUCGGCCUUACAUAUCAGUUGAGUUAUUGUGUACACGGAUGUUGACCGUGAGCCGUCUUUCAGUCGGCCGAUCAUGGUGUUGAGAAGAAGGCCAACUUCUCUUCACCUGAUGUUUAUUAUUGUUUUGCCGCAUUAAGGAUAAGCGAGGAAGGAGAAUGGUCUGGUGCUAGCGAGGAUUUUGUUUCAGAUGUUUACCUUGUACUGUAUUUCAAUUUCAUACGGUGGCAUUUUGAUAUUGGAGUUUCUAUUUUUUGGACUUAGUCAAGAAGUAUACUCUCGGCUAUAUAUCUUCAUACAUAUAGUCUGUCCACAUUUUGCUGCAAGACUCUGUAAAUUAUGAACCUUUGUGAAUAUUUAACUAUGUCCGCUUUGUAAA